rnacentral:rRNA from 1 species
CUUGCUGGGUGGAUUAGUGGCGAACGGGUGAGUAACACGUGAGUAACCUGCCCCUGACUCUGGGAUAAGCGUUGGAAACGACGUCUAAUACUGGAUAUGAUCACUGGCCGCAUGGUCUGGUGGUGGAAAGAUUUUUUGGUUGGGGAUGGACUCGCGGCCUAUCAGCUUGUUGGUGAGGUAAUGGCUCACCAAGGCGACGACGGGUAGCCGGCCUGAGAGGGUGACCGGCCACACUGGGACUGAGACACGGCCCAGACUCCUACGGGAGGCAGCAGUGGGGAAUAUUGCACAAUGGGCGAAAGCCUGAUGCAGCAACGCCGCGUGAGGGAUGACGGCCUUCGGGUUGUAAACCUCUUUUAGUAGGGAAGAAGCGAAAGUGACGGUACCUGCAGAAAAAGCACCGGCUAACUACGUGCCAGCAGCCGCGGUAAUACGUAGGGUGCAAGCGUUGUCCGGAAUUAUUGGGCGUAAAGAGCUCGUAGGCGGUUUGUCGCGUCUGCUGUGAAAUCCCGAGGCUCAACCUCGGGCUUGCAGUGGGUACGGGCAGACUAGAGUGCGGUAGGGGAGAUUGGAAUUCCUGGUGUAGCGGUGGAAUGCGCAGAUAUCAGGAGGAACACCGAUGGCGAAGGCAGAUCUCUGGGCCGUAACUGACGCUGAGGAGCGAAAGCAUGGGGAGCGAACAGGAUUAGAUACCCUGGUAGUCCAUGCCGUAAACGUUGGGCGCUAGAUGUAGGGACCUUUCCACGGUUUCUGUGUCGUAGCUAACGCAUUAAGCGCCCCGCCUGGGGAGUACGGCCGCAAGGCUAAAACUCAAAGGAAUUGACGGGGGCCCGCACAAGCGGCGGAGCAUGCGGAUUAAUUCGAUGCAACGCGAAGAACCUUACCAAGGCUUGACAUACACCGGAAACGGCCAGAGAUGGUCGCCCCCUUGUGGUCGGUGUACAGGUGGUGCAUGGUUGUCGUCAGCUCGUGUCGUGAGAUGUUGGGUUAAGUCCCGCAACGAGCGCAACCCUCGUUCUAUGUUGCCAGCGGGUUAUG